GACGAACGCUGGCGGCGUGCUUAACACAUGCAAGUCGAACGGAAAGGCCCUGCUUUUGUGGGGUGCUCGAGUGGCGAACGGAUGAGUAACACGUGAGUAACCUGCCCUUGACUUCGGGAUAACUUCAGGAAACUGGGGCUAAUACCGGAUAGGAGCUCCUGCUGCAUGGUGGGGGUUGGAAAGUUUCGGCGGUUGGGGAUGGACUCGCGGCUUAUCAGCUUGUUGGUGGGGUAGUGGCUUACCAAGGCUUUGACGGGUAGCCGGCCUGAGAGGGUGACCGGCCACAUUGGGACUGAGAUACGGCCCAGACUCCUACGGGAGGCAGCAGUGGGGAAUAUUGCACAAUGGGCGGAAGCCUGAUGCAGCAACGCCGCGUGCGGGAUGACGGCCUUCGGGUUGUAAACCGCUUUCGCCUGUGACGAAGCGUGAGUGACGGUAAUGGGUAAAGAAGCACCGGCUAACUACGUG
rnacentral:rRNA from 1 species